UACAGAGGUCCCAAGCGUUGUUCGGAUUCACUGGGCGUAAAGGGUGCGUAGGUGGUCGGGUAAGUCGGGUGUGAAAACCCCAGGCUCAACCUGGGGACGCCACCCGAUACUGCUAUAGCUAGAGUCCAGUAGGGGAGUGUGGAAUUCCCAGUGUAGCGGUGAAAUGCGCAGAUAUUGGGAGGAACACCAGCGGCGAAGGCGGCACUCUGGGCUGGUACUGACGCUGAGGAGCGAAAGCGUGGGUAGCGAACAGG
rnacentral:rRNA from 1 species